rnacentral:lncRNA from 1 species
UAGUGGAACGUUUCUGGUCAAUUAUGCAAACAAUGGGUUUUUGGAUUUUUAAAGUUUGCUGAUAGUUUGGAGGUCCAAUGGCAAUCUUGAAUUUCAAUACGGAAAAUAUGUCGCGUUCUCCGGCAUCAAAUUGGCCGCGAGAGUCGACCAAAGUUACCAGAAUUUGUUGCCACGGGAUGGAAACUCAAGAGGUAUAUUU